CGUUGGUUAUAUUUAGACGAAUAAUAAAGGACUUCUUUCAGUAUUGGAUCGAUAGUAUUAUCAAUGUUCUCAGAAAUACAUAUUCGUGAUCGAUGAGAAUACAUUUGUUGGAGUCGAGAUCAUUCGCUUUAUUUUUAUCCGUCAAAGUUCGAAUAAAAAUUUAGGGUGAACGUUUCGUUUGAGAUCUAUCUGACUCUUUAUCUCUUCUCCUUUUCUUUCUUUCUUUUUUUCCUUUUUUCACUUUUCAAGUGAAAAAAAAAGCGAAAAAUAAUUUAUAAUUUGUGAUCACAUUGGUAAACAAGUAUCCUCUAUGUGAUAGCGAACGUAACAGUAAAGAUGAUAUAUAGUCUGCUACGAAACAUCGAAAUACAUAAACAGUGAUGUCUGAAGACGAUUAUAAGCGAAUGGCAACAGACCGUUAUCUUGAACAUGUACAUUGAUAAACUUGAAAUCGAAGUCCUACAGCACAUAUCUAAGGAAUUCUUCGCACUAGAAGUUAUGGCAGGCGAAAGGAUGGUUACGCAGUUGCACUUGGAAGACAAUGCGACGAUAAGAACGCUUUCAGAGGCAAAUGCAACGACCGGAUGCAAGUUUGCGAAACUUGCCUGGGCAAUUAACAAGGCUACUUUAUAUCUUUAAUACUUCAUUUUACCGUAUAUGUUCAUUAAAGAAACAAAAAAAGGAGAAAGAAAGGAAGAAAAAAAAUCCACAGAAUAAGAAAUAAGAGAUAAAACGUGUUUAUAAUUAUUUAUUCAGAUUAAUAUGUACCAACCCAAAUGAAAUUGGAUCCACAUGUGUUCAGCAUUGAAACGACUAUUUUUAUCUAAGAAGAUUUCAAUUAACUACAUCGUCGUCAUCGUCGAGCUGACAAAAGCGAAAACAAGGGACUAAUUGCGAGCGAUAGAAGGGGACCGGAAACUGAAACUAUUACGACCGGUUUUCGAGCCAGUCGAUUAUCCCUAGUAUAUGCUUAUGCUAGUUAUAACUCUAAUGACGAAAACAUCUGCUGACACACGUGAAACUUCAAUCUUCUUUAACCAUCGAAAAUAUCAAUGAAUGACGAGAACGUUCGAAUAAAAAGGAUUGUUUAUAUUAAAUAAAGAAAAAAAAACAAACAAAGAAACAAAACAAAACAAAAAAAAAGAAAAUAUUUUAUUAUGCAAACUAUCGCAUUUAACACCGUUCCAAAUACAAAAUGAACACCUUGUAUUAUUUCUUAUGUACGGUUGAGUAACCGCACGGUAGAGACAACAUACGCACAUAUACAUACAUAUUUACGUGGGUACGUCUCGGGCAUUGGGAGACUCCUAUCAUAAAACGGCCGAGUGAAAGGAUAAGCCGCGAGUUCAUCUCGAGUCUCAACAAACCAAUCUUCUCGAGCAUUCAGACGUGCCAUCGAAGAGUCAUUUAAACGAUUGGAAUGCGCGCGCGAAUGAAAUUGAUUUUUUUGUUCUCUUUUCUUUUCUUUUAUUUAUUUAUUUAUUUUUUUAUUCUUUUUUUUCCCCCUUAGAACAUGUAAUCGCAUUAUCGAUUAACUACGUUCUUCACGCGUUCCUAUAAGGUUUCGAGCGAGUAUGCGUGUAAGAGGGAAAGAGAGAGAAAAGGAUAAAAAGAAAAUGAGAAGACAAGUUUUCGACGAGUCGACGAAACUGGCAGAAAGAAACGAUGAUGGUAAGAAAGAAGAGUAGGUCGUGAAACAUCUGUCUCUACGUUGUGCGUUCGCGCCAAGAGAGUUUGUUCGAUAUGCUUUCGCGAGCGAGCAAGCAAAAUCAAACAUAAGGCGAGGCUGUGUGCCAGAAGCUGCUACGUUUUAAAUAGCUUAUCCACGAAACUUAAAGAAGGCACGAGUCGACUCGAAUUUCUUUUCUUCUUAUUUUCGUUUUUCUUUCCCUCUCUUGUUUUUUUCAUCUUUUUUCAUUCUUUAUUUUGUUCUUUCUUCGUCUUUUUUUUUUUCUUUCCGUAGAGAUAUGAUGUAUAACCGAAUACUGACUCUGCACCUGCCUGCACGAAGAGACUCAACGAACAUUGAAAAAAUUGAACGUUUUUCUUCCUCU